GGCCUGGGCGGCGUGGGCCCUAACACAUGCAAAGUCGGAGCGCGAAAGUCCUUCGGGAUGAGUAGAGCGGCAGGACGGGGUUGAGUAACACGUGGGUAAUCUUCCAAUGGUGCGGGCGACAACUCGGGGAAAACUCGAGCUUAAUAACCGCCAUGCGGGGCCGUAAUUCGAGAGGGUUACGGAAAAAAGCAGGGGAUCUUUUUCGGAGACCUUGCGCCGUUGGGAUGAGCCUGCGUCCCAUCAGCUAGUUUGGCGGAAGUGUAAAAAGCCCACCAAGGCAAAGACGGGUAGCUGGUCUGAGAGGAAUGGACAGCCACACUGGGAAACUGAGAACACGGUCCAGACUCCUACGGGAGGCAGCAGUGGGGAAUAUUGCGCAAUGGGGGCAACCCUGACGCAAGCAACGGCCCGCGUGAGUGAUGAAAGGCCUUCGGGUCGUAAAGCGUCUGUCGAUAGGGACGAAGGGUGAAUUGUUUAAUAAAACAGUUCAUUUGACGGUACCUGUAAAGGAAGCAACCGGCUAACUCUGUGCCAGCAGCCGCGGGUAAGACAGAGGGGUGCAAGCGUUGUUCGGAAUCAUUGGGCGUAAAGGGCGCGUAGGCCCGCGCUGUGUGUCGAAUGUGAAAUACCUGGGCUUAAACCGAGGAAGUGCAUUCGAAACUACAGUGCUAGAAUCCCAAAGAGGUUGGUGGAAUUCCCAGUGGUAGAGGUGAAAAUUCGUAGAUAUUGGGAGGAACAUCGGUGGCGGAAAGGCGACCAACUGGUUGGUGAUUGACGCUGAGGCCGCGGAAAAGCGUGGGGAGGCAAACAGGAUUAGAUACCCUGGUAGUCCAACGCCGCGUAAACGAUGGGUACUUAGAUGUUGGAGGUAUUGACCCCUUCAGUAUCGCAGUUAAACGCGGAAUAAGUACCCCGCCUGGGGAGUACGGCCGCAAGGCUAAAACUCAAAGGAAUUGACGGGGGCCCGCCACAAGCGGUGGAGCAUGUGGUUUUAAUUCGACGCAACGCGAAAGAAACCUUACCCAGACUUGACAUCGAUGGAAUCCGCCAAGAGAUGGUGGAGUGCCCCUUCGGGGCCCAGAAGACAGGUGCUGCAUGGCUGUCGUCAGCUCGUGUCGUGAGAUGUUGGGUUAAAGUCCCCGCAACGAGCGCAACCCCUACCGUUAGUUGCUACCAAGUAAAGUUGGGCACUCUAACGGGACUGCCGGUGUCAAAACCGGAGGAAGGUGGGGGGGAUGACGUCAAGUCCCUCAUGGCCUUUAUGUCUGGGGCUACAACACGUGCUACAAUGGCCACUACAGGAGCGCAGCGAAAACCGCGAGGUGGAGCAAAUCGCCAAAAAGUGGUCUCAGUUCGGAUUGGAGUCUGCAACUCGACUCCAUGAAGCUGGAAUCGCUAGUAAUCGUGGAUCAGCACGGCCACGGUGAAUACGUUUCCCGGGCCUUGUACACACCGCCCGUCACAACCACUGGGAGUCGAUUGCUCCAGAAGUCGGUUGCGCCCAACCCGCAAGGGAGGCAGCCCGCCCAAGGAGUGGUCGGUGACUGGGGUG
rnacentral:rRNA from 1 species